UUCUAGGAAGACCCGGAAUUUACCUGGGGUCGAUUAACGUCUGCACGCAAAGCUACACAGUAUUUUUCCAAACUAAAAUAUUAUUUUAACCUGUGGUUUCCUCUAGACAAACUGACGUAAAAUAAGAAAUAAAAUCCCGGACGGUCUUGUUCUCUAGGUUUUCUGUGGGUUCCUUCAGCCUGAACGGGAAUUCUUCUGUUUUGGUUGCAGAACUUUGUGAUCUGAUGGAUUCCGAGGGGAGCCCAGGAGCUUUGGAGAGGCUGACCUACCACACAAGACCAGCGUCUCUCUCCUCCAACUCCUCUGCUCUCAGAAGCUGGCUCUCCGGACUUCACCUCCACCUUCUGUUUGCGGCUCCUGUUCCUGGUUGCUUCUGGACUCCAGAGCCUAGGGCACCAACCCCUGGGAUUCCGGAGGAAAGCAAGUGACAUGAAACAGCAAGGAGGGAAAGUUCUCUGAGUUUGUCAACUUGGGCAAAUCCGUCCCCAGUCUGGCUUACAUUUCUCAUCUGCUGAAAAACCAAGCGGGAAGGACAGGUGAGCUGGAUGAGUGGCCCCCCACUCUGCUCCAACGUUCUAGAACUUUCUGUGUCAAUGAAUGUGUGACUUUCCCCGUGAG